CCUACGGGUGGCUGCAGUGAGGAAUAUUGGUCAAUGGACGAGAGUCUGAACCAGCGAAGUAGCGUGAAGGAUGACUGCCCUAUGGGUUGUAAACUUCUUUUAUAUGGGAAUAAAAUGUUCCACGUGUGGGAUUUUGUAUGUACCAUAUGAAUAAGGAUCGGCUAACUCCGUGCCAGCAGCCGCGGUAAUACGGAGGAUCCGAGCGUUAUCCGGAUUUAUUGGGUGUAAAGGGUGCGUAGGUGGGUUGUUAAGUCAGUUGUGAAAGUUUGCGGCUCAACCGUAAAAUUGCAGUUGAAACUGGCAGUCUUGAGUACAGGAGAGGUAAGCGGAAUUCGUGGUGUAGCGGUGAAAUGCUUAGAUAUCACGAAGAACUCCGAUUGCGAAGGCAGUUCACUGGACUGCAACUGACACUGAGGCUCGAAAGUGUGGGUAUCAAACAGGAUUAGAUACCCGAGUAGUC
rnacentral:rRNA from 1 species